rnacentral:lncRNA from 1 species
AAAGUUGAAGACAAGAAAAAUGAAAUAUGUUUGUCUACGAAGCCUGUGUUCCAGCCCUUUUCAGGACAGGGUCACAGACUAGGAAGUGCCACACCAAAAAUUGUUUCUAAAGCAAAGAAUAUUGAAGUUGAAAAUAAAAAUAAUUUGUCUGCUGUUCCACUGAACAACUUGGAACCCAUUACUAAUAUACAGAUCUGGUUGGCCAAUGGAAAAAGGAUUGUCCAGAAAUUUAACAUUACUCAUAGUAAGCCAUAUCAAAGACUUCAUUGAAAAAUACCAAGGAUCUCAAAGAAGUCCUCCGUUUUCCCUGGCAACAGCUCUUCCUGUCCUCAGGUUGCUAGAUGAGACACUCACACUGGAAGAAGCAGAUUUACAGAAUGCUGUCAUCAUUCAGAGACUCCAAAAAACUGCAUCUUUUAGAGAACUUUCAGAGCACUGAUUUUUGAUAGACUAAGUGGAAAAUUUGCAGAGAAAUGAUGGUUGUAAGUGGACAUGCAAACCAAAAUUGGGGAUUGGAGAAGUCAGACUCACUAGACUUUUGGUUCGAGUACUAUUGAACUCUCUCCUGAUGAGAAGAUGUUUAGAUAAGUACAAGUUAAGAAAGUAGCAUAUGACUGGAAACUAUAUUCAGUGCACUUUCUCCAAAAGACUACCC